UAACUUUUCUUAUUUAAUAUUGUCCACUGAUUUAAAAUUUCACAUGUGUUAGAUGUACCAACAAUAAGGUUUCGCAGGAAAACCUCAAAAACAGAGGGAAACGGUGCUACUUCUCAUGCAGGACCAUUAAAACGUUGCGUGGGGUUGAGAAAUUGCUUGACAAAUGUUAUUUUGUGCCUAUUAGUUAGUAAGCUACUCUUUUCUCAACAUGAACUGUAACUUUGAACUUUUCUGUACCAUUUUCCCCCUAGAUUUUGAUGGAAAUUUGUGGAUUAAGGCCAUUAAAUUUUCAUAGCAUGGCACUUGUUCGGCUCGAAAGGAUAUUGUUAUUGGCAAAAUUCUCUCGAAAGGAUGUUGUAUUAUUUUUUUAUGCUUUCAUUUUACUCUUUGACAAAA